rnacentral:rRNA from 1 species
AGUGAACGCUGGCGGUAGGCCUAACACAUGCAAGUCGAACGGCAGCACAGUAAUAGCUUGCUCUUACGGGUGGCGAGUGGCGGACGGGUGAGGAAUACAUCUGAAUCUACUUUUUCGUGGGGGAUAACGUAGGGAAACUUACGCUAAUACCGCAUACGACCUACGGGUGAAAGCAGGGGAUCUUCGGACCUUGCGCGAUUGAAUGAGCCGAUGUCGGAUUAGCUAGUUGGCGGGGUAAAGGCCCACCAAGGCGACGAUCCGUAGCUGGUCUGAGAGGAUGAUCAGCCACACUGGAACUGAGACACGGUCCAGACUCCUACGGGAGGCAGCAGUGGGGAAUAUUGGACAAUGGGCGCAAGCCUGAUCCAGACAUACCGCGUGGGUGAAGAAGGCCUUCGGGUUGUAAAGCCCUUUUGUUGGGAAAGAAAAGCAGCAGGUUAAUACCCCGCUGUUCUGACGGUACCAAAAGAAUAAGCACCGGCUAACUUCGUG